GCCGUGGUGGCGGAACUGGUAUACGCGCAUGACUUAAAAUCAUGUGAGAGCAAUCUCAUGUGGGUUCGACUCCCACCCGCGGCA
rnacentral:tRNA from 1 species